UAUUUAAUAUGUUCAAUGAAUAAAAUAGUGUUUAUUUAUUAUAUACUCAUUGCACAGAAUAAAUUGUUCAUAAAUAUUUACAUUAUAAAAUAAACCCUGCCUCGGUUGGGGUUUUUAUUUGGUGUAAAGAUUAAGAACAGCAGUUAGGAAAGAAUCAGAACAUCUUGGUUCCUAAAUAGAUGAUGGGUUGAAAAAGGAAACUUUUUCUUGAAGUCUUAUUCUGAUUUUUAUUGAAUUCUUACUAUGUACCAGAUAUUGUAUGAGGUACAUUUACAUACAUCAUUAUUUAACCACAUCCUAUUCAGGUUUUCUCAUCUAUAAAAUGAUUCAGAUGAUAUUGGUAGUAUGUGGUUACAUAAUGAAACAAUAUCAUUUGGCUUCUUCUGGUAUACAUUAGCAGUUCCCAAAGUGUGGUCUGGGGCUUGGGCCCUUUCAAGGCAUCCAUGAAGUUGAAACUAUAUUCAUAAUAAUGAUUUUUAUUACCUUUUUCACUCUCAUUCUGUGUAUGUGGAGUGUUCUGGAAGCUACGUGAUGUAGGAUGAUGAUAUAACUCUGGUGGCUAAUGGAAUGUUUGCUUGUAUGUUCUUGUAUAUAAUAAUUUCUCAGUUGUACUUUUUAGUGUGAUAAAUGUCAAUAAUGAUAGCCCAAAUAAACAAAAGCUCUUUGGGGUCUUCUAUAAUUUUAAAAAGAGUAAAGGGGUCUUACAGCCAUAAAGCCUUCAGCCUCAUUCUGAAGAAAUGCAGUUACUUAUUAGUUGCUGCUUAGGAACUAAACAAAAUUGCUGCCACAUUCUGAAUACUGCUGCAUUAGACCAGUGGCUGUCAGUAAUCAAAAACAUCCCCUUAGCUUAUCAGCAAUACACAACCAAAAGCCAGGAAAAUGGAAUUAGCAAAUGUGUUUAACUCAUCUGCAUGUAUUUUCUGAGAGUUUUUUUGGCAGCUUCAGAUUUGCUGUUGCAGUAGAAUGUGGGUUAUAUUAAUAAUUAAAAUACAGUUGACCACAAAGCUGCAAGCUAAUUUAUGGACAGAAAAGAAUAGUGAAACACAGCAUAAAACAACUGUUGGUAGGUCUUCUUAAACAGUUUUACAAUGUAAAUGGAACAGGUUUAUAUUAGUGAUUCUUGCUAAAAUUUGGUCAGACAUAUGGGAAUGAAUAGAUUGGACUUGAAUUAAGAUGAAAUAGUGACAGAUUCUUGGGUGUGUUAAUAUUGCAAACUUAUAUAAAAUAAAACCUUUAGCAACUGAAAGAUAUGUAUACUUUAGAGCUUGGAAAGCUAUCAUUUAUUUGUUGUUUACAUGUUGGACACAUUUGUUUUCUUUAGUAAGUUCCAUCCUAUUUUUUAUCUUUUGUGAAAGAUCAUUUUAGAACCAUAGGCAUACCUAAAGAUACAAGUAAAUACAAUCUACCACAUAAUACGAUGUAAUCUACGUUUGUAUUUCUGUAUACAAAAGAAUGUCGUCUGCUUGUUAGCCACUUGUAUGUCUAUUCAUCCCUACUUCAGAAAGAGUUUUAAUUCAGACCACUUUUUGGGAAAGCCUAGUGCAAGCCCCACACAGGGCUGUUAAUCUCAUUGUAAAAAUCAACACCAUUCUGAGGUCUCAUUGUCCCUGAUGUUUUGUUAAAACUAAAGCAAUUAAGGAGAGGCCAGAGAAAAGUUUUCAAAUGAUUGAAAAAUACAUAUCACCUUCUAACAGACAAGUGUGCAGACAUUAGAAUAAAUAAUAUAUACACAAAACAAUUUUCUGAAAUGGUGACUGAUGCAUUUCCAACAUACUAUGUCACAGACUUCAUGAUCAUCAGAAGAGUAAAUUGUUGAAAAUGCAUUGUUCUGUGGCCUCUGAUAUAAUAACGAACAGUGUUGUCAGAGUGUUUCUUCAUCAGUAAUAUGAAGAAAAUUUGGAGAAGCCGGCCUUGUUCUAUAAAUCAAUAAAUAAUUCUACAGAAAAGCACUUGGUAAUAUCUUUACAUCUUCCUCUCUAGAUUCCUUGAGUCAAAUGACAAGAAAACACUUAGAUAUCAUUAACUCAUUGUGAAAAAAAAAAAAAAAAGUAAAAGCAAGUUCCAAAGUACAUGCUAAGAUCUGUGUGUUCAGUUCAGGAUUUUAUUAACAUAUACAGUGCAUAAUGUUCAGAGUGGUUAUUCAUUGAAGGACCUUAGAUCAUCACAAAAAAUGUAAUACACUUUUCAAAGGCAUCAGCUGAGGAAUCAAGUCAGAAAUUUCCAUUAUAAGGAUUAAACUGAACAAUUCUCUUAUCAAAAAGCCUUCGUCUCCUAUCCAUGCCAAAUAACUGAGUACUCUCUGAGCCAUCCAGCGGUCAGUUAGCCAAGUAGCAUUUUCACCCACAAAUAUUAGUCCAAAAAAAGUAAGAAUCAAAAGAGAAGUCAAGGAAUAUCAUAAAAUAGCUAUGAUCACAAUGGCAAACAUCAAAAUUUUCACCAACAUUUAUCAGUGAGAAUGUUUUAUACAUUAUACAUUAGCAUUCUAUUCAUCUGUGAAAAAAGAAAAAAACCUUUUUCAUAUCUGUAGGUCCUCAGAACCCUUUGAGAAUUAAAGAGGCUUCAACUGCCAGCAGAUUCUACAUUGGGCAUAUUCUUUAAGACAUUGCUGAUCUCACGAGAGAUAGAGAAAACUCUCCAAAACAGCAUCACUGAAACAGAAUGAAACAAACCCUCAGUUCUGAGCUGUGAGCUGCAGGCACACUUAGCAGGUCAGGGUUUUCCCCAUGAUAGAUGCCCAGAGAGGUACAGGGGUGAGCAUUACCCCAAAGGCAGAUGCCUAUAGCAGUUUUCUGAGCAAUCUGUGAGAAGGAGCUAAGUGUAGGGCUUCUGAAUUAAGCCAGGAUUCUCAAGAUGUCUGAAAUAGUAAUAAGUCAGUAGCACCCCUGGCUACUGAAUUCCUAAUUUAGACCUUGUAGGAGUCCCCCAGUUUAAGGUCAAGAAAUGAGUUCCAAAUAAAUAUCAGCAAGCAUGUGAGAAGGUAAUCACCUUGAAUGACAUUCAUCAAAAACAGGAAGAGGGAUACAGACUCCCCACUCAUCCCCUACCCUUGGAAAGCAGAAAUUGGGAUUGCCUGAUACAGAAUAUAAAACAGCUGUUCUGAAUUAUUUAAAGAAAGAGGGCAUAGGCUUGCAACAAUAAACUAUUAGGAAUGUCCAGGAUGAUUUGAAAACCAAGUGAAAAAAACCAAGUGAAGCUUCUAAAGUUAAAAAAUAUGAUUACUGAAACAAAAAUUCAUUGAAAGGGUUAGAUAGCUUACUGGACACAGCAGAAGAAAAACCUGAAACCAAAAGAGAUAUGCAAAGAAAUUGCCAAGAAUGAAACCAACAAUGUCUUAAAGAAUAUGUCCUAUCCAGGGUCUGCUGGAAUUUGAAGGCUUUUAGUUCUUGAAGAGUUUGUAGGAUCUUUGAAUGUUAAAAAUGUAUGUCUUCUUUACUGAUCAAUAGAAGAGUAAAGUGCAGAACUGUUCUUACUAAUGAACUUUGGUGAGAACUGUUUGUUUUUGCUUUUGCCAGUGUUAUCAUAUAUUUUCAUGUUAUUUUGCUUCUGUUCUGAUUUUUGACAAUAUUAGUGAAUAAGUAGUGAGAAGAA